GCGCUACCCUUACAAGGUAGAUGUCACUGGUUCGAGUCCAGUAAUGCCCACCA
rnacentral:tRNA from 1 species